CUCCCAACCAACCUCUUUGUUUUAUGUAUUUUAAGACCCUUAGCACAGGCCCCCAAAUGGUUCUCAAUUCUCCCAAAAGUAAGGGUAGCCAAGAAAGAUCCCAGAGGGAUGAACUGUAGUAAAAAGAAAUACUGGACUGACUAAAGCUGUAAGCUGGCCAGACAGAGCAAGGUGUGUUAGAUUCCAGGUUUGUGAGGGAGUGAUUUGCAUCUACCAGAAACUCACAAAGCCAUAAGUCACAAAUCCACAAAGCACAAGGGUUUGUUGUAUAUUACCAUUGAAAUGUUCUUCCACUCACCUUCCAAAAUGUAGUUCAGGUUUAUAUUGCAUUCCCAAUCCAAAAGUGCAUUGUUAACACCUCAAGAAGCAUAUGGAAACCAUUGCCCUGAUCUGUUCCUAUAUUAAAAAUGUUUACUAUAAGAGAAACAGAUCUCUGAACCCAAACCUUAACAACUUAUUAAAACAGAAACUCCCAAACUUGAUUUAUCUACAAAUAUUCGUUUUUAUUAUUGAACUGUAAGUCCCCACACUUUCUCCAUAUUAUCUGAAAACAUUUCCUAUUUCCUAAAGAACAUUUAUUCUCUCAUUUUUUGUUUCAAAUUUCAACUCUAACAUAUUUGGAGGUCUAACAAGUAUAUACCCAAUACAUAUUGUUUUUAUUUAUUUAUUUAUUUUUUUAUUUUUUAUUUUUUUGGUCUUUUUGCUAUGUCUUGGGCCGCUCCCAUGGCAUAUGGAGUUUCCCAGGUUAGGGCUUUCGAUGAUUUCUUCACCUUGAGACAUUGGCAAGCUUAAGUUUUGGUUUACUUAGUAGGCCACCAACACAUGAGAGCUACCUCAGUCUAAUAGCUUCCUUGUUCACUAACUUACUUUAAGUGAAGAAGAGGCCAAUCUGAAUUUGCAAAUUUUAAAAGAAAAAUCUAUUCUCUCAUCCAUUAAAAUCAAGAAACUGUACUAGGUUUUUUUGGCUUUAGUAAGUCUAUAUAUGAGAAUAACCUAUCUCUAUACAGAGACAGAUAAAGUGAACUGCAAACUGGGCUAGAAGAAAAUUUCAUAUUCUUUUUUCAUUUUGCUUAUAUAUAAUACCACAGCUCAAUAAAAAUUUCUAGCCAAGUGUGGUAGUCUCCAUUUAUUUUUUUGGUGAAGCAAACAUAAAACUAAUAGAAAAACUACUUAAAGAAUACCAUAAUGUAAAACUAUUUUACCACAGAACAUCUUAAUAUACCAACAUUCACUCUUAAUAAUCAAUUUUAAACCAGCUAUAAUCAAUUAUAAGAUAUUAAAGAACUAAAAAUUUUCUAAUGAAGAUGAGAUUUGCUCAGAAAGUACAGUAAUUACAUCAAAGAAUUCUUUAAGUUUUCCCUCCUAAUAAUUAAGCAUGAGAUUUCUAACAAGAGAUUAUGGUCUCCCAGUUGAAACUAUAAACUUCAAGUCACUGACUCAAAUUGAAGCAGCAGUUUGUUAUGUGUUAAGAGAGCAGAUGAUUUAUAUAUUUAGGAAAAGGAGGGGGAAAUGAAGAAAAAUAGAAUAAAAUAUAGGAAAAAAGAAAAUAUGACUAUCUGACUUGAAAAAACAAAAUGCUAUAAUAUAUAAAGUACAAUUAGAAUUUAUCAACUCACAAAUCUAGAUAGUCUGCUCACAACUAGACCAGGACAUUAAUUUUUAUAUACUAGAAACUGUGAACCUUUUUAAAAAAAAAGGUUAAAUAAUACAUUUAAACUACAUUAUUAUUUACAAAACAAGAAAGGAAAACCAACUCAUAAAACCUUUAAUAAGAAUUAUAAUUGAUAACCAAUGAAAUCUAAUAACCAUGGCAAAAGAUAUUACCGUUUUGUAACUAUGAAUGUGCUUGGCACAUAGUAGUGCUCAAUAUUUGUUGAAUGAAAGAAGCAACAAAGACUUUAAAGGAAAAUAUAACCUGAAAAAGAAAUAUACUCAAAAAAGAAAUACAAUCUAAAUAAACAAGGUUCCACUGCAACUGUUUGAAAUACUUAGUAAACCCUGAUAUAAGCUUUUCAAAGCUAUAAUUUAAGCUCCUAGCUCAGUGAUAACAACUAAAAAAUAAACAGCUUGCAAAUACGAAAAAAAAUGUUUUUCCAAACUUUAAAUUAGCAAAAUUUUCCUCAAUUAUUGAGGGCUCUCAGGGAGAUUAUAGUUUUCACUCAGAAAUCUGGUCAAAGAAUUCUUACAUUAAGGUUAUUCUGGACAUCGCCUUAGUUAAAAACCCGAAGUAUAGUAUAGAAUUAUGAUUAAAGGACCAAGGACUAUCCAAUGAUGGGUAAUUCCAGAUGACUGGACUUGGCUAACUUUCUGCAAAUGGGAAUCCUUCCCACCCUAUUGUAAUCCACUUUACAGACAAGAAAAAGGACUCUAAGUCAAUAUAUUUUGCUUUCAUGUUCUAAAUUAAAUAAAUAAAUCAGACACACAAAUCCAAAAAAAAAAAGAAAGAAAAAGGGAAACUAUCUUACAUAUAUUUUUCAAAGGAGUCACAAUUUGUAAGUAUCUAGCAAGAAAAAGUACAAUAGCCAAAAGAGUGAGGAAAUUCUCUUGCACUCAAAAUGCAAAAAUCUCUCUGGUUGCUGGAGCUGCUGUUGAAUGAGAGUACCUAGCUGCCACCGUGAAAAUCAAUAACGCACCUGGUAAGAACACAAAAGACUGACUCACCUAUGUGGAAUCCAUUAUCCUUUGAAAAAAGCCCAAGUCUCAUACUAGAGGGCACAAUAUACUUUCUACCAGACAAGAGGAGAAUGAUUUUUCCUCAUCCUGCUUUCCAGCUGUCCAAAGAAUAGAUUUCAGACUAAUUGUAAUAUGACUCUUUUACAGAAAUAAGAGGAGGAUAAAGUGCUUACAAACAAUAGCUGUUUCAUACAAUUGUAUUUUUAAAUGUUCUUUCAGACUUUUUAUUACCCAGAAAAUUAAAUGAUUUUAAACUAAAACUUCAACCUGCGUAUUUGCUUAAAACACAAACAUCAAUUUUAAACAUGCUUUGUAUCUGUAUUCUUACAAUCAUAUUAGAGACUUUCUGCUAAAUACAAAUAUGAAACACAAUAGGUAUAACUGUGAUCACAAUGGAUUAAAACCAAUAUAGCCUUUAUGAAAGCCUCAGUGCUACAAAAGCAUAUGAGGAAACAGGCACUUUCAUACACUAUUGCAGGGAAUUAACUAGUGUACUUUACUAUAAAAAAUAUUUAGAAAGAGCCAUCAAAAUUUAAUAGUUCUAAAUUUUCUUCAAUAGGAGAAACAACCAUACAAAUAAAUACUAAGUCCUAAGAAAGAGGUAAAGUGGUAUAUGCUAAUACGCAAGAUCUACCACUAGUGAAAAAUGAAGGUAAAAGUGUACUAUGAUUCUACUAGUGCAAAUUUCAAAUUACUAUGACCAUAUCAUUUCAUUAAGGUAUAAAUCUGUAUUAUCUACUUGGAAUACAUAUAUUAUCUUACUGCACAAAAGUAUGCAACUUUAAUUUUUCACAUUUCAGUUUCUCUCAUUUUUCAAUCUUCUCCCCAUCCAAACUGGCUUCAAUUGUCUGCUAUUAUUUAAAUAAAUUUUAAUUAGAAUUUUGUCUUUUUUUUUUGUUUUUGCCCUUAAGGCCACACCUGCCACACAUGGAAGUUCCCAAAGGAGGGAUCCAAUCAGAGCUCCAGCUGCAGGCCUACACCACAAUCAUAGCAACUCAGGAUCCAAGCCACGACAGCGACCUACAUCACAGCUCACAGCAACGCCAGAUCCUUAAUCCACUGAGUAAGGCCAGGGAUCAAACCCACAUCCUCAUGGAUACUAGUCAGGUUUGUAACUCAAUGAGCCACAACAGAAACUCCCUA
ensembl:lncRNA